CCCAUGAGUACAGCGGCGACCGGGUGAGUAACACGUGACUAACCUACCCUUGAGUGGGGAAUAACUCCGGGAAACCGGAGCUAAUACCGCAUAACACCGCAAGGUCAAAGGAGCAAUUCGCUUAAGGAGGGGGUCGCGGUUGAUUAGCUAGUUGGUGGGGUAAUGGCCCACCAAGGCGAUGAUCAAUAGCCGGCCUGAGAGGGCGCACGGCCACACUGGAACUGAAACACGGUCCAG
rnacentral:rRNA from 1 species